UUUGUUAUGUUUGUAAUAAAAAACAUAAAAAAAAAUCUGUUCUUAUCAGUUUAAUAUCUGAUACGUCCCCCAUCGGGGGACCACAUAUUAAACGGAUUUUUGGAACAGGGAGCUGGAUCAGGAGCUUNN
rnacentral:snRNA from 1 species